rnacentral:tRNA from 1 species
GACUUAGUGGUCCAGUGGUAAAGCGUUUGUCGCGGAGUCAGAGGGUCCUGGAUUUGAUUCCCGACGGAGUCG